rnacentral:tRNA from 1 species
GCCAGCGUAGCUCAGCAGUAGAGCAGCGGACUCAUAAGCCGUUGGUCACAGGUGCGAAUCCUGUCGCUGGCA